UGACGGUAAUCAACCAGAAAGUCACGGCUAACUACGUGCCAGCAGCCGCGGUAAUACGUAGGUGGCAAGCGUUGUCCGGAUUUAUUGGGCGUAAAGCGAGCGCAGGCGGAAGAAUAAGUCUGAUGUGAAAGCCCUCGGCUUAACCGAGGAACUGCAUCGGAAACUGUUUUUCUUGAGUGCAGAAGAGGAGAGUGGAACUCCAUGUGUAGCGGUGGAAUGCGUAGAUAUAUGGAAGAACACCAGUGGCGAAGGCGGCUCUCUGGUCUGCAACUGACGCUGAGGCUCGAAAGCAUGGGUAGCGAACAGGAUUAGAUACCCUGGUAGUCCAUGCCGUAAACGAUGAGUGCUAAGUGUUGGGAGGUUUCCGCCUCUCAGUGCUGCAGCUAACGCAUUAAGCACUCCGCCUGGGGAGUACGACCGCAAGGUUGAAACUCAAAGGAAUUGACGGGGGCCCGCACAAGCGGUGGAGCAUGUGGUUUAAUUCGAAGCAACGCGAAGAACCUUACCAGGUCUUGACAUCUAGUGCAAUCCGUAGAGAUACGGAGUUCCCUUCGGGGACACUAAGACAGGUGGUGCAUGGCUGUCGUCAGCUCGUGUCGUGAGAUGUUGGGUUAAGUCCCGCAACGAGCGCAACCCUUGUCAUUAGUUGCCAGCAUUAAGUUGGGCACUCUAAUGAGACUGCCGGUGACAAACCGGAGGAAGGUGGGGAUGACGUCAAGUCAUCAUGCCCCUUAUGACCUGGGCUACACACGUGCUACAAUGGACAGUACAACGAGGAGCAAGCCUGCGAAGGCAAGCGAAUCUCUUAAAGCUGUUCUCAGUUCGGACUGCAGUCUGCAACUCGACUGCACGAAGCUGGAAUCGCUAGUAAUCGCGGAUCAGCACGCCGCGGUGAAUACGUUCCCGGGCCUUGUACACACCGCCCGUCACACCAUG
rnacentral:rRNA from 1 species